rnacentral:rRNA from 1 species
UACGUAGGCAGCAAGCGUUGUUCGGAGUUACUGGGCGUAAAGGGCGCGUAGGCGGUCUGCUAAGCGUGUGGUGAAAGCUCGGGGCUCAACCCCGAGUCGGCCAUGCGAACUGGUGGACUUGAGCACUGUAGAGGCAGGUGGAAUUCCGGGUGUAGCGGUGGAAUGCGUAGAGAUCCGGAAGAACACCAGUGGCGAAGGCGGCCUGCUGGGCAGUUGCUGACGCUGAGGCGCGACAGCGUGGGGAGCAAACAGG